GUCCUCAUAGCUUAUAAAAAGCAUGACACUGAAGAUGUCAAGAUGGCUGCCACACGCACCUGAGGACA
rnacentral:tRNA from 1 species